rnacentral:rRNA from 1 species
CAAGGUUUCCGUAGGUGAACCUGCGGAAGGAUCAUUACCGAGUUGAUUCGGGCUCCGGCCCGAUCCUCCCACCCUUUGUGUACCCACCUCUGUUGCUUUGGCGGGCCGCGGUCCUCCGCGGCCGCCCUCCGUCCGGGGGGUGGCCAGCGCCCGCCAGAGGACCAUCAAACUCCGGUCAGUGAACGUUGCCGUCUGAAAAACAAUCAAUAAACUAAAACUUUCAACAACGGAUCUCUUGGUUCUGGCAUCGAUGAAGAACGCAGCGAAAUGCGAUAAGUAAUGUGAAUUGCAGAAUUCAGUGAAUCAUCGAAUCUUUGAACGCACAUUGCGCCCCUCGGUAUUCCGAGGGGCAUGCCUGUUCGAGCGUCAUUACAACCCUCAAGCUCUGCUUGGUGUUGGGCACCGCCCUUCCGCGGGCGCGCCUCGAAGACCUCGGCGGUGGCGUCUUGCCUCGAGCGUAGUAGAAAACACCUCGCUUUGGAGCGCACGGCGCCGCCCGCCGGACGAACCUUUUGAACUUUCUCAAGGUUGACCUCGGAUCAGGUAGGGAUACCCGCUGAACUUAAGCA